rnacentral:rRNA from 1 species
GACGAACGCUGGCGGCGUGCCUAAUACAUGCAAGUAGAACGCUGAAGGAGGAGCUUGCAUCUCUGGAUGAGUUGCGAACGGGUGAGUAACGCGUAGGUAACCUGCCUGGUAGCGGGGGAUAACUAUUGGAAACGAUAGCUAAUACCGCAUAAUAGCAGUUAUUGCAUGAUAACUGUUUGAAAGGUGCAAUUGCACCACUACCAGAUGGACCUGCGUUGUAUUAGCUAGUUGGUGGGGUAACGGCUCACCAAGGCGACGAUACAUAGCCGACCUGAGAGGGUGAUCGGCCACACUGGGACUGAGACACGGCCCAGACUCCUACGGGAGGCAGCAGUAGGGAAUCUUCGGCAAUAGACGGAAGUCUGACCGAGCAACGCCGCGUGAGUGAAGAAGGUUUUCGGAUCGUAAAGCUCUGUUGUAAGAGAAGAACGAGUGUGAGAGUGGAAAGUUCACACUGUGACGGUAUCUUACCAGAAAGGGACGGCUAACUACGUG